GGUUUUAUCGAUAUUUCCCUUUUCCCUAUUUGGGAAUAAAUAAAGUUCGGUGGCGACUCUGUUUUAUUUAUAUUUCGAGUGUUCCCUACACUUGGGUAUUUUUCGCGCCGCGACAGAAAUGACAAAAUAGUAACUUUCAUAGGCUUAAAAAGAAAAUUGCUAACAAGGAUCAAAUGAAUAUAAUAUGAUAUGCAAGGGAUUC
rnacentral:lncRNA from 1 species